rnacentral:rRNA from 1 species
UCCUACGGGAGGCAGCAGUGAGGAAUAUUGGACAAUGGGCGCAAGCCUGAUCCAGCCAUGCCGCGUGCAGGAUGACGGUCCUAUGGAUUGUAAACUGCUUUUAUACGAGAAGAAACACCUCUACGUGUAGAGACUUGACGGUAUCGUAAGAAUAAGGAUCGGCUAACUCCGUGCCAGCAGCCGCGGUAAUACGGAGGAUCCAAGCGUUAUCCGGAAUCAUUGGGUUUAAAGGGUCCGUAGGCGGUCAGAUAAGUCAGUGGUGAAAGCCCAUCGCUCAACGGUGGAACGGCCAUUGAUACUGUCUGACUUGAAUUAUUAGGAAGUAACUAGAAUAUGUAGUGUAGCGGUGAAAUGCUUGGAGAUUACAUGGAAUACCAAUUGCGAAGGCAGGUUACUACUAAUUGAUUGACGCUGAUGGACGAAAGCGUGGGUAGCGAACAGGAUUAGAUACCCUGGUAGUCCACGCCGUAAACGAUGGAUACUAGCUGUUGGGAGCAAUUUCAGUGGCUAAGCGAAAGUGAUAAGUAUCCCACCUGGGGAGUACGUUCGCAAGAAUGAAACUCAAAGGAAUUGACGGGGGCCCGCACAAGCGGUGGAGCAUGUGGUUUAAUUCGAUGAUACGCGAGGAACCUUACCAAGGCUUAAAUGUAGAUUGACCGGUUUGGAAACAGACUUUUCGCAAGACAAUUUACAAGGUGCUGCAUGGUUGUCGUCAGCUCGUGCCGUGAGGUGUCAGGUUAAGUCCUAUAACGAGCGCAACCCCUGUUGUUAGUUGCCAGCGAGUCAUGUCGGGAACUCUAACAAGACUGCCAGUGCAAACUGUGAGGAAGGUGGGGAUGACGUCAAAUCAUCACGGCCCUUACGCCUUGGGCUACACACGUGCUACAAUGGCCGGUACAGAGAGCAGCCACUGGGCGACCAGGAGCGAAUCU